AACCAUAGAAACCUGCGGAGUACCUGCGGAAGGAUCAUUACCGAGUGAGGGCCCUCCGGGUCCAACCUCCCACCCGUGUUUAACGAACCUUGUUGCUUCGGCGGGCCCGCCUCACGGCCGCCGGGGGGCACCCCGCCCCCGGGCCCGCGCCCGCCGAAGACACCUGUGAACGCUGUCUGAAGUUGCAGUCUGAGACACUAGCUCAAUCAGUUAAAACUUUUAACAAUGGAUCUCAGAUCG
rnacentral:misc_RNA from 1 species